rnacentral:rRNA from 1 species
GACGAACGCUGGCGGCGUGCUUAACACAUGCAAGUCGAACGGGUCUGCCCUGUUUUUUGCGGGGUGGGUCAGUGGCGAACGGGUGAGUAACACGUGAGUAACCUGCCCCUCACUUCUGGAUAACCGCUUGAAAGGGUGGCUAAUACGGGGUGUUCUGGCUGUGCCGCAUGGUGUGGCUGGGAAAGAUUCACUUUUGUGGUGUUUUGGUGGGGGAUGGGCUCGCGGCCUAUCAGCUUGUUGGUGGGGUGAUGGCCUGCCAAGGCUUUGACGGGUAGCCGGCCUGAGAGGGUGGGCGGUCACACUGGGACUGAGAUACGGCCCAGACUCCUGGGGGAGGCAGCAGUGGGGGGUAUUGCACAAUGGGCGGAAGCCUGAUGCAGCGACGUCGCGUGAGGGAUGGAGGCCUUCGGGUUGUGAACCUCUUUCGCCGGUGAAGAAGGUCCUGCUCUUUGUGGUGGGGUUGACGGUAGCCGGGUUAUGAAGCGCCGGCUAACUACGUG